UGGGGAAUAUUGCACAAUGGGGGAAACCCUGAUGCAGCGACGCCGCGUGAGCGAAGAAGUAUUUCGGUAUGUAAAGCUCUAUCAGCAGGGAAGAAGAAUGACGGUACCUGACUAAGAAGCACCGGCUAAAUACGUGCCAGCAGCCGCGGUAAUACGUAUGGUGCAAGCGUUAUCCGGAUUUACUGGGUGUAAAGGGAGCGCAGGCGGUACGGCAAGUCUGAUGUGAAAGCCCGGGGCUCAACCCCGGUACUGCAUUGGAAACUGUCGGACUAGAGUGUCGGAGGGGUAAGUGGAAUUCCUAGUGUAGCGGUGAAAUGCGUAGAUAUUAGGAGGAACACCAGUGGCGAAGGCGGCUUACUGGACGAUCACUGACGCUGAGGCUCGAAAGCGUGGGGAGCAAACAGGAUUAGAUACCCUGGUAGU
rnacentral:rRNA from 1 species